CGGCUGUAAAAUAGUAAUGGCAUUAGUUAUAGACAUGUAGGUUUAUCAUGAAGGAGCCAGCUAAAAAAAAAGAGAAAGCCCAGGCAAGGAAAAUGAGAGAGCUGCAAUUGGGUUGAUUUCUAUCCUUCUGUGCAUGUUUGUGAUUGUACUAUGGUAAUCAUUGUUUGUAAAAGUCUUUAUUCUACUAUUUUUAUGAAUAGCUAGGUUAGAUAACUGCCUUUCCAUCACUUCUGAUGUGGCAAACCUGCUUCAUAAGUGAAGUUCAGUCCAGGUACAGAGCCUACCUGGUAUCAUUGGGUGCAAGGCAGGACUACUCCCUGGACAAGCUAAUUACCCAAUCCACUCAUUAGGACUCCCCCUAUCACUAGUGAUGGCCCAACACCAGAAGGGUAAAGACUAGCAUUGCGUCGUCCGAUACAUGUUAAGUCAGCCACCACCUCUUUUCAAACUGCUGCUGACCCUUUGGGGAGAGAGCAUCAUCUACCCACACAGAAAGAGCAAGGCCAAUGGUGUUGUAUUGGGGGUCCAGUAGCUGAUGGCAAGCUACAUAAACAGGAUUUGAACCGG
rnacentral:lncRNA from 1 species